GCGGACGUGGCGAAAUCGGUAGACGCAGCGGACUUAAAAUCCGCUUCCAUCGGAGUGCGGGUUCGAGUCCCGCCGUCCGCACCA
rnacentral:tRNA from 1 species